GGGGGGCUUUCGUGGAGAAAAUGGACUUUCAGAACAGAGAUUGUCAAUAAAGGGUCCAUGGAAGAUUCCGCAUGAAGAUGUUGCAUACAUCCAAGGCAGUUGCAAUGGGCUUGCUUGGGAUUUACAGUAUUGGCCAUAAUGCAAGGUUUUGGGAGAAGAGGAAGGAGAGAGUUGGAGGAUGUUGCCUCAUCAGACACAAUCCUUUUCACAAGAGAGCAUGUGGAGUCUAAUGGUGUCAAAACCCCAGAGCUUCAGUUGGUUUAACUCUGAUAUGCAGAAGCAUAAAGAAGGCAUAAGAUCUGGCACAUCUUGGCAGAGUGCAAAGCAGCAAAACACAGGAGAUUCACAAAGAGAAAACUGAUAAUUAGCAAGAAUAGAUGGAUAGAUUCAUGGGUGGUAGGUUCAGCACAGACUCAUGGAGGUUAUUUCUGACAGUGUGUAGUUUUGUUAUGGACCUUCAUACCGAGGAGUUUUGUCUAUGCUAAAAAUGCCUUUAAAUUAAGAUGAAAAUUCACUGGGGAGAGGGGGAAUCCAUGCAGGGCUAUUAUAUGCAACAAUGUAACCUCUUGGUCAGGAUGUUCUUCAACUACAAGAUGCUGAUAAAAGAUUAAUAUACACUUGCCCAGUUUUUAUGCUAUUUCCUAAAUAGCUGCUAUUGACCUUGGUCAGAGACAGGAGGAAAGGCUAGAUGGAUGUUGGAUAUGACUCAGUAGAAGCUGUUGUCAUGUCCUUAAGGCACAAAACAAGUCCAUCUGUCACCAGGGACAUACAAGGUAGCUGGAAAGUAUCCUGUAAGUACAGUAGUGGUGAGGCAAAAAACAAAGGGAAGGUAUAGCAGUCAUGCGGCACCAUGAGGGGUGUAGGAAAACCAGAGUUUAUUAUAUGUUGGUUUGGGAGUUUUUUAUUAGCAUGGUGGAAAAUGAAGAAUAAUGCCAGGAAACAACUAAGGAACUGUAUUAAUUGGAGAUAUUAAAGAAAAAAGAAAAUUGCUAACAUUUACUUUCUAAUUUUCCUGCUGCUGUUUAGGAUAUCUGAUUUUAUUGUUACUCAUUGAUGGCAACAAGAUUAACACAAAACCACACUCCUUCCAGCAGCACAGUCAAUUCCAAUGCAGUUAGAUAUGCAUGAUUUCUUGUUCUUCCAAGAAAUAAUUGGGCCAAAGAUUGAAUUCCUUGCACUGCAUGCUGGGGCUUAGAAGCUGAGAUGAACGUUGUCUUUGAGUGGGCGGCGCUGAAAUCCUCACAUCGACAUGCAAAGCCAGUUACACUAGCCUGCUUCUUUUAAAUAAAAUCAAUACUUGUAAUAUUGACAGUUUCUAAGCGUAAUCUUCUACACUUAGUACACUUUACAGUUUUGUCAGAAGACAAAACUGUAAAGAUCUAACUGGUAUGAGAUGUGGUUAAAUUGCAGUUCUUACUGUUUGAAUGCAACUUGUUCACCAAUCUUAUGACUGGUGAAGGCUACAAUUCUUUCAAUAUGAACAAGCAGAUUCAAGUCUUACCAUCUUCAUGUUUAGGCUGAAAAAAGUGCUGGUUUUCUGAGCAUCUUGCUUUGCAAAAUGUGCAGGAACAUUUCCAUGAUAUUAAGUAAUUCACUAUCAAUCAGAUUUGUUUGUAAUUCCGAGUAGAAUGGCAAUGUUUGAGCUGAAUGCAACUCUGAGAGUUGUCGUUAGUCUGUGUUGGGUUUAUUGUUUCCUGCAUGCUCUAACGCAAUCAAACAAUUCUGCAAAUGUUCUUCAAAGAGUACAUCCAGAACACCACCUCAUUCAACAUCUCCUUGGCAUUUGUUCCAUUUCCGAUUUUUAAUUUCUCUGUUUAGUUGUGAAAUGACCUCUUGUAGCAGGGAAGUUUUAUUAACUUCUCAAUGAACUGGCACAGAGAUGAAAACAGUGAAAAGGGAAACAUAAAAAUGAGUGGUUUGGGGCUCACUUGUCAGGAAGAGUUGCAUAAAGUGGAAGCAAGUUCUAUGGCCUCAUAGUAGGCUGAUGAUCGGUGUUGUAGAUCCAUGCAUGUUUGCCUUCUGGUCUUCUGGUAUUCUUUUAAAUAAAGUGGAACUAAUUU
ensembl:lncRNA